GUCGAACGAGUUCUCGUUGAAUCUCGGUGCUUGCACCGAGAUUCAACCCGUUACGAGUGGCGGACGGGUGAGUAACACGUGGGUAACCUGCCCUUAAGUGGGGGAUAACAUUUGGAAACAGAUGCUAAUACCGCAUAGAUCCAAGAACCGCAUGGUUCUUGGCUGAAAGAUGGCGUAAGCUAUCGCUUUUGGAUGGACCCGCGGCGUAUUAGCUAGUUGGUGAGGUAAUGGCUCACCAAGGCGAUGAUACGUAGCCGAACUGAGAGGUUGAUCGGCCACAUUGGGACUGAGACACGGCCCAAACUCCUACGGGAGGCAGCAGUAGGGAAUCUUCCACAAUGGACGCAAGUCUGAUGGAGCAACGCCGCGUGAGUGAAGAAGGCUUUCGGGUCGUAAAACUCUGUUGUUGGAGAAGAAUGGUCGGCAGAGUAACUGUUGUCGGCGUGACGGUAUCCAACCAGAAAGCCACGGCUAACUACGUGCCAGCAGCCGCGGUAAUACGUAGGUGGCAAGCGUUAUCCGGAUUUAUUGGGCGUAAAGCGAGCGCAGGCGGUUUUUUAAGUCUGAUGUGAAAGCCCUCGGCUUAACCGAGGAAGCGCAUCGGAAACUGGGAAACUUGAGUGCAGAAGAGGACAGUGGAACUCCAUGUGUAGCGGUGAAAUGCGUAGAUAUAUGGAAGAACACCAGUGGCGAAGGCGGCUGUCUGGUCUGUAACUGACGCUGAGGCUCGAAAGCAUGGGUAGCGAACAGGAUUAGAUACCCUGGUAGUCCAUGCCGUAAACGAUGAAUGCUAGGUGUUGGAGGGUUUCCGCCCUUC
rnacentral:rRNA from 1 species